AACGAACGCUGGCGGUAGGCCUAACACAUGCAAGUCGAACGCCGUAGCAAUACGGAGUGGCAGACGGGUGAGUAACGCGUGGGAACAUACCCUUCGGUUCGGAAUAACUCAGGGAAACUUGAGCUAAUAACCGGAUACGUCCAAGGUCAAACUUAGGAGAAAGAUUUAUCGCCGGAGGAUUGGCCCGCGCCUGAUUAGCUUGUUGGUGAGGUAAUGGCUCACCAAGGCGACGAUCAGUAGCGGUCUGAGAGGAUGAUCAGCC
rnacentral:rRNA from 1 species